AUACAGCUAACGAGUCCCAAGUAGGACGAAACGAUCGUACUGGAU
rnacentral:hammerhead_ribozyme from 1 species